GGCCAGCAUCGGUUCGGGCGGUGGGAUAAAGGCCUUGGGAAUGUAGCUUCUUUCGGGGAGUGUUAUAGCCCUCGGUGCAAUGCCGCCUGCCUGGACCGAGGACCGCGCUUCGGCUAGGAUGCUGGCGUAAUGGUUGUAAGCGA
rnacentral:rRNA from 1 species